AUUAGAGUUUGAUCCUGGCUCAGAGUGAACGCUGGCGGCAUGCCUAACACAUGCAAGUCGAACGAUCUUUGGCAGUUUAUCGUCAGAGGUAGUGGCAAACGGGUGAGUAAUACGUGGACAAUCUUCCCUCGAGCGGGGGAUAACUCCGGGAAACCGGAGCUAAUACCGCGUGAGACCACGUCCUGGCAUCAGGAUGGGGUUAAAGCUCCGCAAGGGGCACUUGAGGAGGGGUUCACGGCCUAUCAGCUAGUUGGCGGGGUUACGGCCCACCAAGGCGACGACGGGUAACCGGUCUGAAAGGACGACCGGUCACAAUGGCACUGAGACACGGGCCAUACUCCUACGGGAGGCAGCAGUGGGGAAUUUUGCUCAAUGGGGGAAACCCUGAAGCAGCGAUGCCGCGUGGAGGACGAAGGUCUUCGGAUUGUAAACUCCUUUUGGAUGGGGCGAAAAAACGGGAUUUAUCCUGGACUGACGGUACCAUCAGAAUAAGCACCGGCUAACUCCGUGCCAGCAGCCGCGGUAAUAAU
rnacentral:rRNA from 1 species